UCCGGUUUGUCACCGGCAGUCCCCCUAGAGUGCCCAACUGAAUGAUGGCAACUAAGGGCGAGGGUUGCGCUCGUUGCGGGACUUAACCCAACAUCUCACGACACGAGCUGACGACAGCCAUGCAGCACCUGUGUCCAGGUUCCCUUUCGGGCACCCCUCCAUCUCUGGAGUCCGCGACCGGGAUGUCAAGGGCUGGUAAGGUUCUGCGCGUUGCGUCGAAUUAAACCACAUGCUCCACCGCUUGUGCGGGUCCCCGUCAAUUCCUUUGAGUUUAAGCCUUGCGGCCGUACUCCCCAGGCGGUCAACUUCACGCGUUAGCUUCGUUACCAAGGAAUUACUUCCCCGACAACCAGUUGACAUCGUUUAGGGCGUGGACUAC
rnacentral:misc_RNA from 1 species